AUGUCUCCAUCUAGAAUAUUCAAUCUUGCAAUCACUACUUCUUUCAUUUUCUCUCUCAUUGUUCUACUUCCUAGAUCAGGUGGAAGUGUUUUGUGUGACGAGAGUGAUUUGGAGGAAAGGAAAGUUGUGAUAGGGUCAAAGCCACCUGAAUGUGUUAACAAGUGCAUGAAGUGUAGGCCAUGCAUGGCUACUGUGGUUGUUAAUGAUCAUGAUCACCAAAAGAAGAAGGGUUUCAAAUUAGAUUCUUCUCAUGAAGAAAAUGAUAGCUAUUAUCUCCUUUCAUGGAAAUGCAGAUGUGGUAAUAAAUUGUUUCAACCAUGA